rnacentral:snRNA from 1 species
CACUCUUGUUUCUCUUCAAAUCGUAUAAAUCUUUCACCUUUUAUUAAAGACUUAUUAAAGAGAGGAGCAGCAAGAGUUUAAAUUAAUUUUUUGACACUCUGGGGCAGUCGUGGCCUAAU